UUUUACUAAAUAUAGGCAGAUAAUAUUAUUUAAGAAUAUAUUUCCCAAUUGUUUAUCAUUGUUGGUUGAAGUAUAAAUAAUAUAAGUAUAGUAACUAAUACAUAUAUUAUUUUCGGUGAUUCAUCAUUCGACAUUCAUAUAUAUAGAUAUGUAUAAAAGAUACCAAAUAUGGUCGGGGCUUAUAAUGUAGAAAAAAGUAGUUGUCAGUUCAGUCACGGACAAGUGAGUUAUCCGUGUGAUGUCAAAAGAGGAAAGGAUGAAACUAAGAAAAGAAAAAAAUAAAAAAAUUGUAGCUACCUAUAAGUAUUAUACGCGUACUUCUAUAAAUACAUCGGUAAACUUGCAUAAUAUAUUGUUUGGACAAUAUUAUUGUAUGGAACCUAUCUCGAAGCAGUAAGCAAAAUAAUAACACGG